rnacentral:lncRNA from 1 species
GGAUAUUGCUGUCAAAGGAAUGGAUUCAUUUUUUUAUUAAAAGAGAUGAACUUAUGAAUUCAACAGGUGAAGAUUUACAACUUGAUAAAUCAGCUUUGUGAGCUCCAACUGUAAAAGCCAACGGUCCGGGGAUGAUCCCAUACUGUUUUUUCCAGUCUCAUGUUGAAGAUUUUUAUGUAGAAGUUCUUCCCAAAGGAAUUUAUUUUUUUUUUGGAGACAGAGUUUUCACUCUUGUCGCCCAAGCUGGAGUGCAAUGACGCGACCUUGGCUCACUGUAACCUCUGCCUCCUGGGUUCAAGUGAUUCUUCUGCCUUAGCCUCCCGAGUUGCUGGGAUUAUAGGUGCCCAGCACCAUGCCAGGCUAAUUUUUGUAUUUUUAGUGGAGAUGGGGUUUCGCCAUGUUGGCCAGGCCGGUCUUGAACUCCUGACCUCAGGUAAUCUUCCUGCCUCAGCCUCCCAAAGUGCUGGGAUUAGAGGCGUGAACCCAUGCCCGGCCAGAAAUGUUUUUUUUUAAGAAGGCUGUCUACUAGUGGAGUUCCUGGCCUGAGAGGAUAUUACUUUCCAAGGAAAGGAUUUCUUUCAUUAUUUAAGGAGCCACUUAAGCUAAAGAUUCCCUUGAGAACAAGUACUGUCCUGUGGUUUCAUGGCCUUUCUUCCAUUUGUGGUUCUUGCCAAGUGGUAUUUCAAUGA